rnacentral:rRNA from 1 species
UACGUAGGGUGCAAGCGUUGUCCGGAAUUACUGGGUGUAAAGGGUCCGCAGGCGGGUAGACAAGUCGAAGGUGAAAUCCUCUGGCUCAACCAGAGAACUGCCGUCGAUACUGUCUAUCUUGAGUUCGAGAGAGGGCAAUGGAAUUCAUGGUGUAGCAGUGAAAUGCGUAGAUAUCAUGAAGAACACCAGUUGCGAAGGCGAUUGCCUGGCUCGAUACUGACGCUCAGGGACGAAAGCGUGGGGAGCAAACAGGAUUAGAUACCCUAGUAGU